AUCCCGUAAGAGGAAUCGGUGAUGCAUGGCUGGCAGUCGCCGACCCAAUGACAGCUGAAGCCUGCCCCCUUCGCUUGAAGGCUUUCCCUUUGACAGGACCUGCCUGAGUCGCCGACUCCACAACGGGAGUCGCCGACACAGAGGCCACGGGAAUUCCCCCCUGCUCAAGAGGCUCCCGUACGACUACUAUGGCCAGGCUCUGUAUCGCCGACUCCACAAGGGGAGUCGCCGACACUGGCGAGGCGCUAAGUAGCUCGUGCACGGUGGCACACAACUCCAUUCCACGAGGCGAAACGACCGGAGUCGCCGACUAAACCUCUCUGUCAGGAGAAGGAAUCGGCGACUCGACGGUGUUCAACGCCUUAUCCAAGUUGUCAGUCAUCAUCUCUGACGUUUCAUAUUCAUUCAAUUGGGACAAAGGGGAAUCGGGGGUAGACAUGGUUUCAGUCGACGAUUCGAAGGUGAAAAACUAGGGAAUCGGCGAUUGAAAAAUCUGGGGGUUUAGGCGAUUUAAGAGUGGCAAAAGUGUUGUGAGAAGGGUUUAAGGAAACCUCUCCACUAUUUAUAGCCCUUGGAAAAAUUGCAAAAACCCCCCAGAAAA
rnacentral:lncRNA from 1 species